CAGCAGGGGUUCAAGCCGUUUAACGCCGGGGCACAACGACGAGGGAUCCUCCCCAAUUAGAGUGUUCCAAGAUAUCUACCGAAGUUGGUAUGCUAACAACACUCCUCUGCUGCUCUGUGCUCCCAGUCUCGACCGCUAGCUGCACGGCUAACCGAGCUAGGCAGAACUCCGUGAUGGAUGUGACUGAUUUCCAGAGAAAGGUGGUGGCAUGCAACAUCUCCAACUAAGAGAUGGAAGACCUGCACUGUACACUGUCGUCACACCAACUGGAACCCACAAACGUUUAGCGGUUAUGCUAAUAUCAACAGCCGGAUCGUCAACAGGAUACAGUCCUCUUAAAAUAGCAGCUUCGCCAUCUGAGAGAGAGCGCUAUUUUAAAUGCAAGUGGUGACGAGACUCAGGACUCCUUUAAAAAGAAAAAAACAAUAGGUCUAGUUUGCAUAGUUGCUCUGGCGCUUUUUUCCCCCUUUGGCGAUAUUGGCUCCCUGACAAAAAAAAAAAUGUCAUGCCUCGCUGAUGAAAGUGCCGCUCUGAAAGCAUUUUCUCCCCCAGAUUUACAGUUGACCUUUACGCUGAAGAAUUCAUUUCCCAGGUAAAUAUUUGCAUUUGCAUUUGCAGAGAUAGCGCAGUAGUGACCCUCCCGCCUCACGCUGCGAUGCUAACAGUGGCGUCUGUGUGUAAUAAUGACUGCGUGCGCUUGUUGACAGAGACCAGGCGUGAGAGUGAAGUGUAACCAAGAAUAUCUCGAGAGGAAAUAUGCAAAAGAAAAGGCUGCUGACAUGGCAGUGAGUGUGCGAGUUUGUGUAAGUGUGCGUGCUGCACCAGCUCCCACAGCAAGCAUGCAAUCGUGCAUAAAAAAACCCAAAAAACUCCUCCUCAGCCUCUCAGCUGUCAUCGAUCAGUUCCGGACGGGCGAACCCUCAUGUUGCGUUAACAAAAAAAAUUUAAAAAUCACGUCUGUUAAUAAACGCGUGUUGCAGGAGAUCUGUCGGUCUUAUUUCACCCCGACUGAUUCAUCCUCUUUUGAAGAAGAUAAUGGUGUCGGCUCCGUUCCUCCAGAGUUUCUGCGUGAAAACCUGUCGUUGCAUGUUAAACACCUCGUGGUUUGUUCUUGUCUGUACCUCCAAGGACAAAAUGUGACCCCGCUGACCCAGAUUACCGAUGUCAGGGAGAGUUGGUCCUCACUGACGAGUGACGACAGGUUGGAAAAACUUGUUGAACUCAACUCGAGUAGGCAAAUGAGACCUUUCUGUGUGUGUGUGUGUGUGUGUGUGUGUGUGAGAGAGAGAGUCUUUCUCUGAGGCAUUUUCAACUUUGUUUGCUGACAUACAUACAAACUUUCUUUCUUUCUUACUAUCAGUCACAGAUCCAUGAUAAGCACUAUUUGACAGUGUAAUGUAACAAAAUUUCCUGACCUCACCUGCAAUGCAAAGUAAAGACUGUUUAUCUACCUGAAAUCCCAACUCAUGCAUGUGAUUAAACUUCUGACACAGACA